CUGAGCCUUGGGAGCAGCCUGGGGUGACAGCUUCAAGUUGUGCAGCUUUUCCCAGACAUGCUGCCUUUCCCCAUGUGAGCCCUCUGUUAAGUGAAACACACUCUUUCAAGAAGCCCCCAGAUGAGUUAGAAUGCUGGAAAUAAGUUCUGCUCUAUUCCCUCCCGUUCAAGGGAGGGAAAUGAGCAACACUACUGAAAAGUUCUGGUUUACACUGAGAUUAGAAGUUUAUACUAUAAUGUAAAUAACACUGCUUUCUUCAUCUAGAAAGACUUGCUACAAAAAGUCAACUGAAUUAAAUGAAGGAGGUACUUACUGAUGUAGUUUAUUUUUAUUUUGAUGUAAAUGCCUUUGUGGACAAGAAACCCCACGGCAGCUCAUCUAUAAGCCACACUGACUAGCACUGUUUCAGAGCACUUUUAAUAUUACCUUACUUGAACUUUUCAUGGACUAUUUUCUCCAUAGUUGCAGAAAUAAGAAAAGAACGUGGGAAAGAUAGCACUGAUUAUUUUUAGUAAGGACUACUUUUUUUCUAUCUAUCUCAUAAGUCAAAAGGUGUUUCAUGUAACAGAACCUCACUUUUUUGCUUUUUAAAAGCAAAGUAAAAAUAGAACAUAACUAAAUUCAACUGUUAUGUAAGUUAUUUUGUCUUCUCAGACUUAGAGACAGGGUCUUGCUCUGUUGCCCAGGCUUGAGUACAGUGGCACAAGCACAGCUCACUGCAGCCUUGACCCCCAGGCUCAAGGGAUCCUCCCACCUCAGCCUGCUCAAGUAGCUGGGACCACAGGCAUAUGCCACUACACCUGGGUAACUUUUUUAUUUUUAGCAGAGAUAGGGUCUUGCUAUGUUGCUCAGGCAGGUCUCAAAUUCCUGGGUUCAAGAGAUCCUCCCACCUUGGCCUCCCAGUGUGCUGGGAUUACAGGCAUACACCACUGUGCCCAGCCUAUAAAUUUCUUAACAGCAAUCCAGUCAUUCAAUAGUUUAGUCCAUUGGGCUCUGCAUAGAAGCUGUUCAUUUUUCAGUUAUAUGGACUUAAGUGGUAUGGAAGUUACAUAUAGCAGUCAACACAUGGCUACGUAAA
rnacentral:lncRNA from 10 species